rnacentral:rRNA from 1 species
GAUGAACGCUGGCGGCGUGCCUAAUACAUGCAAGUUGAACGAGUUCUGAUUAUUGAAAGGUGCUUGCAUCUUGAUUUAAUUUUGAACGAGUGGCGGACGGGUGAGUAACACGUGGGUAACCUGCCCUUAAGUGGGGGAUAACAUUUGGAAACAGAUGCUAAUACCGCAUAAAUCCAAGAACCGCAUGGUUCUUGGCUGAAAGAUGGCGUAAGCUAUCGCUUUUGGAUGGACCCGCGGCGUAUUAGCUAGUUGGUGAGGUAACGGCUCACCAAGGCAAUGAUACGUAGCCGAACUGAGAGGUUGAUCGGCCACAUUGGGACUAAGACACGGCCCAAACUCCUACGGGAGGCAGCAGUAGGGAAUCUUCCACAAUGGACGCAAGUCUGAUGGAGCAACGCCGCGUGAGUGAAGAAGGCUUUCGGGUCGUAAAACUCUGUUGUUGGAGAAGAAUGGUCGGCAGAGUAACUGUUGUCGGCGUGACGGUAUCCAACCAGAAAGCCACGGCUAACUACGUGCCAGCAGCCGCGGUAAUACGUAGGUGGCAAGCGUUAUCCGGAUUUAUUGGGCGUAAAGCGAGCGCAGGCGGUUUUUUAAGUCUGAUGUGAAAGCCCUCGGCUUAACCGAGGAAGUGCAUCGGAAACUGGGAAACUUGAGUGCAGAAGAGGACAGUGGAACUCCAUGUGUAGCGGUGAAAUGCGUAGAUAUAUGGAAGAACACCAGUGGCGAAGGCGGCUGUCUGGUCUGUAACUGACGCUGAGGCUCGAAAGCAUGGGUAGCGAACAGGAUUAGAUACCCUGGUAGUCCAUGCCGUAAACGAUGAAUGCUAGGUGUUGGAGGGUUUCCGCCCUUCAGUGCCGCAGCUAACGCAUUAAGCAUUCCGCCUGGGGAGUACGACCGCAAGGUUGAAACUCAAAGGAAUUGACGGGGGCCCGCACAAGCGGUGGAGCAUGUGGUUUAAUUCGAAGCAACGCGAAGAACCUUACCAGGUCUUGACAUCUUUUGAUCACCUGAGAGAUCAGGUUUCCCCUUCGGGGGCAAAAUGACAGGUGGUGCAUGGUUGUCGUCAGCUCGUGUCGUGAGAUGUUGGGUUAAGUCCCGCAACGAGCGCAACCCUUAUGACUAGUUGCCAGCAUUUAGUUGGGCACUCUAGUAAGACUGCCGGUGACAAACCGGAGGAAGGUGGGGAUGACGUCAAAUCAUCAUGCCCCUUAUGACCUGGGCUACACACGUGCUACAAUGGAUGGUACAACGAGUUGCGAGACCGCGAGGUCAAGCUAAUCUCUUAAAGCCAUUCUCAGUUCGGACUGUAGGCUGCAACUCGCCUACACGAAGUCGGAAUCGCUAGUAAUCGCGGAUCAGCACGCCGCGGUGAAUACGUUCCCGGGCCUUGUACACACCGCCCGUCACACCAUGAGAGUUUGUAACACCCGAAGCCGGUGGCGUAACCCUUUUAGGGAGCGAGCCGUCUAAGGUGGGACAAAUGAUUAGGGUGAA